rnacentral:lncRNA from 1 species
GUUUGCACAAACUUGGUGCCACGGCUUGUCGUGUGCCUCGCCAAAAUAAACAAGUACUAUUGUAUUAUCGUUAUUUUCCUUAUAUAAGAAAACUCAACAUAACGCGUUUUGGUUGCCUGCUGUCAGUCAAGCUAAUAGACUAUCAGGAAAAAGAAUCCAGAAACAAUCGUAGAAUAUACUGCACGCAUUUGGACAACGUGCUGUUCUGCAGAUACAGUGUCUCCCUGGACACAAAAGGAGCAAACCGAGAAUAAUCACUUGAUCAGAGCAUCAAACAGAACCAGAUAUUUCUUCUCCACGAACACGUAUGGUCCAAGCUUAGCUAGAGACGCACACGCACUCUGAAAUUUUCAGACAAAGACAACUAAUUUUAUAUGAAAUCCUGCGCGUUUGACAUCCACUUAAAAAAGCUUUUGCUCAUGAUUUUGUCCUUUGCACAAUCUGAAGAGGCAUGUCGUUUUUGCUGCCUCCGGUGGAGAUGGAGUGGAUGCCCCAAUAAACAGUCGCCAAUUUGGUUAGGCCAUCAAGGCCGCCGCCGACCGAUCGACGUCAACAACACACCGGACCUGAUAGGGCGGGCAUGCGUUGAUCCAGGUGUCCAUCCAUCUCUGGCCUGAAUCAGUGGCUUUGGCACUACAAGCGGCUCAUUUAGUGGCUAAUAAUUCUUGUUUCAUGUUGUAAAAAGUUCAGAGUGGGGGCUGCGUGUCCACCUGUACCUUCAGGCUGAAAUGGCGGCCGAGUGCGUGACCGACCAGGGGGUCCUUUCAAGCUACCUGCAACAAGCACCCGCAGACGCACGCGCGCACGAAUCAGCUCGGAAAUAUCUAUACAGAAAAGAAGAAGAGGAAAAUCAGUUUUGUAUGGGCUCAUUUGAUUUGCAGAAUUCUAAAAACCUAGGAAUAAAAAACACAUAAAUAUGAUAGAAAUGCAUGUACAAAACGGAGGGAUUCUAUAAACUUUCAUGUUUAAUUCACAGGAAUAAGAAAAAUACAAAAAUCCUACUCCCUUCGAUCCAAACUGUUAAGGAUUAAUUAAAUCCUAAUAAUCAAUGCUUAGGUCGGUUGUUUAGUUUAAUGUAAUUACCGCCUCUGUACAUGGGUAUAAAUACCCUAUUCUUCAGUCAGUGCAGUUACUGUUCAAUCCAUUCGUUCCUCUCUCUCUUUUUCUUCUUUACACGUUAUCAACACUUUGCCCUAACCUGGAGCGAGCGAUUAGGCCACCCACAUCAAUCCGUCACCGGCGACGUCCUUGAUGCCCGAGAGGCAGCAAGGUUUCUCCGACACGACCGGAUGCCCAGCGUUCCUUGACGCAUCUCGUUGUCCCCGGCGGCAGCCCACGCCCUCCGGCGCGUGGUGCGAGCACGCCGCACCCUGCAGAGCGGCACGGCGGCGCAGGUCUCCAGACGGCGCGUGGUCGCGUGGCCUCGACCUCCCGCAUCAGCCGGAGGCGUUCGCGGCACAGGCGCAGGCGCUGCGAGUCUCUCGAUCAGGGAAGAAACCAGAUGCAAAGAGAAAGAAAGCACAAAAUUCAGAGAAAGGUCAAGAACAGCAGAACGGCAAGGGGAUCAGAAGAAAACAUACAAGAUCCAUGUGACACAUCUCGUACAAAACGACAAUAAUGCAAAGACCAACUCUGCAUCAUACAUCAAUCAGGUGAUUCAAUUCCGAAUUUGUUAUACUAACCUCUAGUGCAUCGUUUUUAAUGUCGUCCAAAGCAAACUUCGGCAGCAACCCAUGGCCCGGUCGACGUUUACCUCGGCUAGGCUCCUCGCGGAGCGGCGAC